rnacentral:rRNA from 1 species
UACAGAGGGGGCAAGCGUUGUUCGGAAUUACUGGGCGUAAAGGGCGCGUAGGCGGCCUGCUAAGUCGAACGUGAAAUCCCUGGGCUCAACCCAGGAACUGCGUCCGAUACUGGUUGGCUUGAAUCCGGGAGAGGGAUGUGGAAUUCCAGGUGUAGCGGUGAAAUGCGUAGAUAUCUGGAAGAACACCAGUGGCGAAGGCGGCUCACUGGCCCGGUACUGACGCUGAGGUGCGAAAGCGUGGGGAGCAAACAGG